AAGUUUUGACAGAUUGACAUUAGGAGCCAGAGCCAUCUAUUAUCGGUGAACGUUGUCAAUUGGGAGAAUUUUGCUUGUGAAUAUAAAUGGUGGAUGACGAUCUAUACAGAGUAUACUAUGACAAAUAGACAAACAAAGAAGGUUAAAAAGCCCUUGCAGACCACUUUGGGCAAAGCUCCAGGUCAAAAUGAAAAAGAAGAAAUGGAUGUGUCUCACCUCAAACGACCUAUAGAGACCAGUAUUUACACCAUACAA
rnacentral:lncRNA from 1 species